ACGUCUGAUACAGAGAUGGGGCCAGGGCCAUUUGGGAGUUAUGUAUUGACUCCGGAGCCUUCAAAAUCUGACAGCAGCAAGAACCCUCAGAGGAAGAAUAGCAA